AAAAAGAGUAUUUGCUCUAAGUCGUUCUAGUCGUCUUCCCUAAAACCCUAGAGAGAAACACAACCCCAGCUUCGUCUCUGAGAACCAAAAGACUGAAGAAAGCAGCAAGCAAUUGGGGUUUUGGUGGCGAAGGAAGGAAUGGAGCAGAGAAUGGCGAACACGUGGCGGAUGACGGUGAACGAGAAGAAGUUCAUCGAGACGGCAUUGGAGUCGGGGCUCCGAAUCGACGGCCGGCGUCCCUUCGACUACCGUAAGCUCGAAAUCAAGUUCGGGAAAGACGAGGGGUCCGUGGAGGUCCACCUCGGCCAAACUCAUGUGAUGGCCUUCGUCACUGCCCAGCUCGUCCAACCCUACCGGGACAGGCCCAAUGACGGCACCCUCUCCAUCUUCACCGAGUUCUCUCCCAUGGCCGACCCUUCCUUUGAGCCUGGCCGCCCCGGCGAGUCCGCCGUCGAGCUCGGCCGCGUUAUUGACCGCGGUCUCAGGGAGAGCCGGGCAGUUGAUACAGAGUCGCUUUGUAUUCUCUCUGGGAAAUUAGUAUGGGCUAUACGUGUUGAUCUCCACAUUCUAGAUAAUGGAGGGAAUCUUAUUGAUGCUGCUAAUAUUGCUGCACUGGCUGGUUUGUUGACGUUCCGGAGGCCUGAGUGCUCAUUAGGGGGAGAAAACGGUCAGGAAGUCAUCAUACAUCCACCCGAGGAGAGAGAGCCACUUCAUCUAAUAGUACAUCAUCUCCCUAUUGCAGUAACUUUUGCAUUCUUCAGUUAUGAGAGCAGUGUGGUUAUAGAUCCAACCCACCAUGAAGAGGCUGUUAUGGGGGGACGAAUGACCGCUACACUUAAUUCUAAUGGUGAUGUUUGUGCCAUUCAGAAGGCUGGAGGGGAGGCCAUCUUGCAGGGUGUUAUAAUGCAAUGUUUGCGAAUUGCUGCUGCCAAGGCUGGUGCCAUCUCAGAUAUGAUAAAGAAAGAGGUUGAUUCAUAUAACACAAAAAGAGCAUUACUGAAGAUCAAGCGUCAUUCUACUCCCAUGGAUGUAGAUAGAGGUGCUUCUGACAUAGGGCUGAAACAGAACUCCUCUGUUGACCAGAUGAGAGUUGAUGAAUUUUCAGGGCAUCAUGUGCAGAGAAUAAAGCAGGAGUGUGAGGAAGGCAUUGCCAAGCAAAGCGGGGAUGUUGAAAGUGAAACUAAAUUGUCAGACAAAACGCUAACUAACAGGAGUAAUGAGGAUACAAAGAAUUUCAUUGGAGGCCCCUCAAGUUGGGAUCCUUACUCUGUGGGUGUUGAUUCAGAUUCCUUGAAAGCUUCUCUAGCUUCCCAAGGUAUGCCAAUGCCUAUUGAGAAACAAAAGGACUCAAAAGGUGAGGAAACAAGAACCGAAGCCAAGCCAGAGGAUGCUCCUGAAAAUAACAAUCCAAAGACUUCACCCCUUAGGGAAGCUGAAUCUGCCGAACAAGCAAAUGGAGAGAAAACCCUGAAGGAUGCUGUAAAGGCGAAGAACAGGAAAUCCAGGAGAAAGAGUCACUCCUCUUCUGGUCCUAGCUAGAUGAACUUAUGCUCAUGGCAUAUACUUCAGGUACUGCUAUUAUGCCUGGAAGGCUGGAACUCAUGGCAAAACUAGUUCAAGGCCGUACAACUGCAGAUUUAUGCUACGGGUGAGUCAUUUGAGAUAUGAUAGAUGAUUGUCUACAUUCAAGGCAUGGCUUGACUAGAUGACUUCUACCCAGAAAUCUGUUCUCACUGUUGGUCAAAGCUCCUGAAUUUGCUUCUAGUGCAGUUUGGGUUGACUCGCCAGUUCACAGUUUGCAGAGGAUUGGAAAAUGAUAAUAUUCCUUUUAUUUUUAUGUGAUUACCAACAUGUGAUUGCCAAUAUUUAUGCAAUGGUAAGGUUAUAGGAUUUUUAUUUUUUAUUUUGCUUAGCCUACACGUAAUUGUAUUAA